rnacentral:rRNA from 1 species
ACCUCAGCUAGCUGCUGCACUCUCACACACGCACUGCGAGUGAGUGAGCGAGCCAGUCUUUCUUCUGAAACCAUGUGCGAGUCCGCCUCCCUACUAGCUGCAGCCGGAGACCAAGACGGCCACCACCACCAGGGGGGAACCAAGGCAGCCGAGAUGAACACGGGUGGCCUGCUGGACCCUUCCCCGGCAGCCCUCGGCCCGACCCCUCUUCCCGCGACGUCUCCGGCGCUCGUGUUCUACGAAGACGAUUACCGGUACUACUACGAUGACGACAGUUGCCUCCAGGAGGACCAGGAGGGCGACCACGACGCCUAUCAACUCCUAGAGGACGAGGACGAAGACGUCGCCGCCACCGGGUCGCUUGCUGACAGGCUACGUGAUCUCGUCCGUCAGAGGCUGGCCGAGGUUAACGCCUCCAGCGCGGUCGUCGCGGGGCUCGGCCUCGUCGGGAGCGCCGUCGGCGCCUACUUCCUCUGGCCCGCGGCCGCCGCCACCGCAGCCGCCACCAUGCCAGUGGGAAAAAAAUUAUAUGAGACCAAGUCUCAUAUAAAUCAGGUGAGACCCGCCUUGAUGAAUGACAGGUGGCAUUCACCCCUGAUUUCAGGUGGGGGGUGGGGUGAAUGA